GUCCUGUAGCGCAAUAGAUAGCGCGUUGAAUUUCUAAUUCAACGGUCGUGGGUUCGAACCCACUUGGGAUG